UCGAGCGAGCGGAACCACAGAUUUACUUCGGUAAUGACGUUGGGAAAGCGAGCGGCGGAUGGGUGAGUAACACGUGGGGAACCUGCCCCUAAGUCUGGGAUACCAUUUGGAAACAGGUGCUAAUACCGGAUAAUAAAGCAGAUCGCAUGAUCAGCUUUUGAAAGGCGGCGUAAGCUGUCGCUAAGGGAUGGCCCCGCGGUGCAUUAGCUAGUUGGUAAGGUAACGGCUUACCAAGGCGACGAUGCAUAGCCGAGUUGAGAGACUGAUCGGCCACAUUGGGACUGAGACACGGCCCAAACUCCUACGGGAGGCAGCAGUAGGGAAUCUUCCACAAUGGACGCAAGUCUGAUGGAGCAACGCCGCGUGAGUGAAGAAGGUUUUCGGAUCGUAAAACUCUGUUGUCAGAGAAGAACGUGUGUGAGAGUAACUGUUCACGCAGUGACGGUAUCUGACCAGAAAGUCACGGCUAACUACGUGCCAGCAGCCGCGGUAAUACGUAGGUGGCAAGCGUUGUCCGGAUUUAUUGGGCGUAAAGGGAACGCAGGCGGUCUCUUAAGUCUGAUGUGAAAGCCUUCGGCUUAACCGAAGUCGGGCAUUGGAAACUGGGAGACUUGAGUGCAGAAGAGGAGAGUGGAACUCCAUGUGUAGCGGUGAAAUGCGUAGAUAUAUGGAAGAACACCAGUGGCGAAAGCGGCUCUCUGGUCUGUAACUGACGCCGAGGUUCGAAAGCGUGGGUAGCAAACAGGAUUAGAUACCCUGGUAGUCCACGCCGUANACGAUGAAUGCUAAGUGUUGGAGGGUUUCCGCCCUUCAGUGCCGCAGCUAACGCAUUAAGCAUUCCGCCUGGGGAGUA
rnacentral:rRNA from 1 species